UACGGAGGGUGCGAGCGUUGUCCGGAAUUAUUGGGCGUAAAGCGUGCGCAGGCGGUUUUGUAAGUCUGUCGUGAAAUCCCCGGGCUCAACCUGGGAAUUGCGAUGGAGACUGCAAGGCUGGAGUCUGGCAGAGGGGGGUAGAAUUCCACGUGUAGCAGUGAAAUGCGUAGAGAUGUGGAGGAACACCGAUGGCGAAGGCAGCCCCCUGGGUCAAGACUGACGCUCAUGCACGAAAGCGUGGGGAGCAAACGGG
rnacentral:rRNA from 1 species